rnacentral:rRNA from 1 species
AUCGCAUCCUGGGGCUGUAGUCGGUCCCAAGGGUUGGGCUGUUCGCCCAUUAAAGCGGUACGCGAGCUGGGUUCAGAACGUCGUGAGACAGUUCGGUCCCUAUCCGUCGUGGGCGUAGGAAAUUUGAGAGGAGCUGUCCUUAGUACGAGAGGACCGGGAUGGACGCACCGCUGGUGUACCAGUUGUUCUGCCAAGGGCAUAGCUGGGUAGCUAUGUGCGGAAGGGAUAAGUGCUGAAAGCAUCUAAGCAUGAAGCCCCCCUCAAGAUGAGAUUUCCCAUAGCGUAAGCUAGUAAGAUCCCUGAAAGAUGAUCAGGUUGAUAGGUUCGAGGUGGAAGCAUGGUGACAUGUGGAGCUGACGAAUACUAAUAGAUCGAGGACUUAACCAUAUAA